GUAGACCACUCUCCAGACACUUAGCCAUCACGUUGCAAAGUUCGGUCCAAUCGGGUCUUACUUUUCCAGCUGAGGCUUUUGAAUUAGAUUGAAAUAAAAUGGCGACCGCGGAACCGGAAACUGCUUCAAACAUCCAAAGUUCUGGAGAAGAAAAUGUUGAAGAGACAAAUCAAGAGGUUUUAAGUCCAGAACCCUACAUUAAACAUCCAUUACAGAACAGGUGGUCUCUUUGGUUUUUCAAAAAUGACAAAAGCAAAACAUGGCAAGCCAACCAGCGUCUAAUCUCGAAAUUUGACACUGUUGAAGAUUUUUGGGCGCUUUAUAAUCAUAUUCAACUUUCAAGCAACCUGAUGUCUGGUUGUGACUACUCCCUUUUUAAGGUAGGGAUGCUGUUUAUUUCUAUGCAUAUUCAUUUUAAUACUUAAAUGUUUAAUGUCAUCAGGUCAAAAUUACUUUUCCGCUCUUAGAAAUAGGACUGCAUGAAAAUUGGAGUGAAGGAAUCCUAAAGCUGAGUCACUCCUAAGGAUAUCCCAUACAGUAUGGAGGUGUGGUUGAAACUGGCUAGGAGCUUGGGUGGAACCACAUAAUUGUCUCCUGUCCUUCAGCUAAUGCAAGUAAAGGUCUCUUUCGGUUUCAAGGAAUAGGGUUAGGGUUGAAAUGGGCUAGAAGCUCUGAUGGAACCACAUCAUUGCCUUUUACCCCUCAGCUACGCACCCCAACUGAUGUUCAUGUCUGAUAGGCUUAAGGAGAACAUUUAAGGUUUAGUUUUGGCGUGUCGAGGUUGUUUUGGGUUUCAGGGUAAUGUGGCUCCAAGUAGGUGCUACUAUAACUUUAAGCCUUUUGCAGAUCAUGCAUUUUAAUGCGGGUAUUUUUGUAUUUAGCUCUGCUGAAUAGGCAUAUGAACCUUUUAUAGUAUGUAGCUGACACCUUGAGUACAUAAGAGGAAACAGUUUGCUGCAUUAGUUAGUCCAGCAUAAUAGUCAUUGAUUAGGAAAUAUUUUGUGGUUAGGUUUUGCAGUGCCCAGAACUAAUGUACUAUCCAGUCGUAAGUUCAAUAAAUUCCACCUAAACACA